UGACCGGGGGCGUCUCAAGUCAAGCCCUCUGGCUCGCGUCAUCCCUGGAUCCCUCAAUUCCCCCCGGUUUCAGUCCGCUCUACGCGCACGAUAGUGCGUCAGAUCCAGCCAUCCACGGCUCCGGUCCCUCGGGCUCUGUCUCCGGCCCUGCUGCGCUCACACCGUCCCCUAACCUAAAUAAACCUGUUAACCCGU